UACAGAGGGUGCGAGCGUUGUCCGGAAUCACUGGGCGUAAAGGGCGCGUAGGCGGCUUGAUAAGGUUGCGGUGAAAGCCCGGGGCUCAACCCCGGGUCGGCCGUGGCAACUGGUCGAGCUGGAGCACUGUAGAGGCAGGUGGAAUUCCGGGUGUAGCGGUGGAAUGCGUAGAGAUCCGGAAGAACACCGGUGGCGAAGGCGGCCGCUGGGCAGUGGCUGACGC
rnacentral:rRNA from 1 species